UACGGAGGAUCCAAGCGUUAUCCGGAUUUAUUGGGUUUAAAGGGUGCGUAGGCGGCCUGUUAAGUCAGGGGUGAAAGACGGUAGCUCAACUAUCGCAGUGCCCUUGAUACUGAUGGGCUUGAGUGGACUAGAGGUAGGCGGAAUGUGACAAGUAGCGGUGAAAUGCAUAGAUAUGUCACAGAACACCGAUUGCGAAGGCAGCUUACUAUGGUCUUAUUGACGCUGAGGCACGAAAGCGUGGGGAUCAAACAGG
rnacentral:rRNA from 1 species